GUCGGACAGAUGUACCUCCGAACGCUCUAUAUACGGCUUCACUGAGGGCCCAUAUUUCAUAUGUUCCACCCGGCUAGUUUCCUUUUGGCGGGUCACAUGACUCGGGUGGUGCGAGACAGAAACGUGACUACUUGAGCUCUCUCAACAACAUAUUUACCCCAGAUAGGUCUAAAUCGGAACAUGCCAAGUCGAUCACGAAUGAUAAAGACACGGGACCUGUGACUCACAAGGAAUCUAUUUGCAUUUUGCCGUGACCGAUCACGUAACCUUAUGGUUCCAUCCAUAGACAAUGGAGAGCACCGCCUAUAUCAUGGGUCUUAUUAUGACCCUUUUUGCAGUAUUCUCGAUCUUUGCCUGCAUCGUGUUUUCCUUUUUAAGAUGCUAUAAGAGACGGAAACUUCGAAGGAGGCGCGCACAUCAGACAGCUGCAAACAAUAUUUAUCAACAGAAUGUAGUCUGUAACUCACUUCCGGGCACAACCGGAUAUCCGGUGGAUUCAGAUCCAAUGUCGCAAAAUGUGUUUUUUAUAAGCUCCCCAGGUCUGGUCACACUCCCUCCCUACUCUGAGACAUAUAAACCAGAGCCACCACCUCCAUACACACCUUGACCUGAGUGACCUGUAUGACCUUCACCUUCAGGAAAUAUCGAAGCAUCGCCAUUAUGGAUGCAUAAUUCUGUAUCCUAUGUGGGCCUUAAAGAAACAGAUGUAAAACAUGACAGAAACCAUCCGGAUGUGUCUUUUUCUGACAUGCACUGUGUGAAGAUUCUGUGGUUAGUGCAACCUGUGUUUGGUCGGACUAUCAGACUAAAGACAAUGGAACAGUGCUGAAGACGUUACUGGGUGACCAGUAUUCUUGGAGGGAGAUUUCACAAAUUUGGAGAGGACGACUGGAAAAUAGUCAACCUCGGUAAUUUGGAAUCAUUAUACUCAAUCAAAACCAUACCAAUCCCUACCUCCUGUCGAUACUUAAUUAGCUAAUUAAACAGCGACGCCCUGGUACAGAAUCAAAUUACAAAUGGGCACAUCAUGAAAUACAAGCAGCAGGGCGCGUUAUAUUGAACAACGUGAUUGUGUCAGGAGGUGGUGUUUCAGUAUGAGUUAUGACAAGAAGCCUUUUUGCCAACUUGAACUGAAAAAACGUGCGACAUAAUUCAAAUACACAACCAACAACAUUGCUUUUACCGAAUUGUGUAUUUAGACUCUUUUUCGCCAUCACAUUUGCAACAGGCUUUCCCCUUUUACAUUGCUGGUGUAAUGAUUGGUCUUCAUAGCCAUUCUACUUUCUCAUUUAUACUUCAGUUAGAAUAUUAGCCCUGUUCUACUUUCAAGAAAGACACACGAGCACAAAUUUUGGAAAAAUAUUUUGUUUACAUAUUAGCAUGUAUAACCUUUGAAGAAAAGAAAAAUGCUAUCUGAAAAUCACUUACCUAAUAUGGUCAUAUGUCGGCGUGAAAAGUGUUGGCGGAAAAUGUUAUAACCUCUCUAAAUGUGAAAUUUGACAGUUCUUGUGUUUGAAAAUGGCCUCGUAUAAUAUAUACUCAUGCCAAUAAUGGUUGUCACCCCCUCCCCCACCCCAACACCACACACACAUCACACCCUCUCCAAUUAAAAUAAUUGAAGGGGUGACAACCAUUAUUGGCAUGAGUAUAUUAAACACAUGUUGUGUCUAUUAUAUUUUUAACAUAUUCGCUGUACACUUUAUGCCAUAAGCCAUUAGCAAGAGACUGACACAUGAAAGGCACUGUGUUAACGGAUGCACUGAUGUAGCUAGAUUUUGCUUUCUCGAUCCCGGUUCCAUAUACUUUACACUUUAGUGGCGCUUGUUAUAACUGACCAUUAAUAUGAAACUAUAUGCACGGUAUUUGAGUAUCACGGUGUUUGUCUUUGGUUCUCAAACCCGGAGGUACCAACGAUCUCCCAACCACCAACCCUUGUUGUUGGACGUGUUCUUGUUCUAUCUGUACCUUAUUGUCUGACAGUGGCAUCACGUCUGUGUGAGUGUCUAACCAUACCAUGCCAUUAUGUGUGUUCAAUGUUUUCUACAGCUGGUCUGUUAAGUGGAUGAAAAUAUUUGGAAUUGGUUGGACGUAGCCAGUUUCGUACUGAUGUAUAAUUUAACUGUAUGAACUAAUCAUCAUUCAUAUGUUGAUUUUUAUAUUUAUUAACUUCAAUAUGCAUAUGAAAUUAUAUAUUUAUGAAGAAAUA